AACGCGAAGAACCUUACCUGGGCUCGAAGCACAGUGGACCGGGGUAGAAAUAUCCCUUUUCGCAAGAACUGCUGUGGAGGUGCUGCAUGGCUGUCGUCAGCUCGUGUCGUGAGAUGUUGGGUUAAGUCCCGCAACGAGCGCAACCCUUAUCGUUAGUUGCCAGCGGGUCAAGCCGGGCACUCUAGCGAAACCGCCCCGGAUAACGGGGAGGAAGGUGGGGAUGACGUCAAGUCCUCAUGGCCUUUAUGUCCAGGGCUACACACGUGCUACAAUGGUCGGUACAAACCGUCGCAAACCUGCGAAGGGGAGCUAAUCGGAAAAAGCCGGCCUCAGUUCGGAUUGGAGUCUGCAACUCGACUCCAUGAAGCUGGAAUCGCUAGUAAUCGCGGAUCAGCACGCCGCGGUGAAUACGUUCCCGGGCCUUGUA
rnacentral:rRNA from 1 species